UACGAAGGGGGCUAGCGUUGCUCGGAAUCACUGGGCGUAAAGCGCGCGUAGGCGGAUUGUUAAGUCAGGGGUGAAAUCCUGGAGCUCAACUCCAGAACUGCCUUUGAUACUGGAGAGCUUGAGUCCGGAAGAGGUGAGUGGAACUCCGAGUGUAGAGGUGAAAUUCGUAGAUAUUCGGAAGAACACCAGUGGCGAAGGCGGCUCACUGGUCCGGUACUGACGCUGAUGUGCGAAAGCGUGGGGAGCAAACAGGG
rnacentral:rRNA from 1 species